GCAAGUCGAGGGGCAGCAUGGUCUUCUGACCGAUGGCGACCGGCGCACGGGUGCGUAACGCGUAUGCAACCUACCCACUACAGGGGAAUAGCUUCCGGAAACGGAAAUUAAUACCCCAUAAUACAUAAGUAUCGCAUGGUACUAAUGUUAAAGAUUUAUCGGUAGUGGAUGGGCAUGCGUAAGAUUAGAUUGUUGGUGAGGUAACGGCUCACCAAGUCUACGAUCUUUAGGGGGUCUGAGAGGAUGAUC
rnacentral:rRNA from 1 species